rnacentral:rRNA from 1 species
GAUGAACGCUGGCGGCGUGCCUAAUACAUGCAAGUCGAGCGGAGCGGGGACGGGUGAGUAACACGUGGAGAACAUCCCAUAAGACUGGGACAAAUUAGGGAAAACGGUGCUUAUCCGGAUAAUGAUAGAUGGAUCCGCUCUGCAUUAGCUAGUUGGUAAGGUAACGGCUUACCAAGGCAACGAUGCAGAGCCGACCUGAGAGGGUGAUCCGCCACACUGUACCUGAGACACGGUCCAGACUCCUACGGUAGGCAGCAGUGGGGAAUCUUCCGCAAUGGGCGCAAGCCUGACGGAGCAACGCCGCGUGAGUGAUGAAGUUCUUCGGAUCGUAAAGCUCUGUUAUUAGGGAAGCGUUACCUAAUCAGAAAGCCACGGCUAACUACGGGCCAGCAGCCGCGGUAAUUC